AGAGUUUGAUCCUGGCUCAGAACGAACGCUGGCGGCAGGCUUAACACAUGCAAGUCGAACGCCCCGCAAGGGGAGUGGCAGACGGGUGAGUAACGCGUGGGAAUCUACCGUACCCUACGGAAUAACGCAUGGAAACGUGUGCUAAUACCGUAUACGCCCUACGGGGGAAAGAUUUAUCGGGGUAUGAUGAGCCCGCGUUGGAUUAGCUAGUUGGUGGGGUAAAGGCCUACCAAGGCGACGAUCCAUAGCUGGUCUGAGAGGAUGAUCAGCCACAUUGGGACUGAGACACGGCCCAAACUCCUACGGGAGGCAGCAGUGGGGAAUAUUGGACAAUGGGCGCAAGCCUGAUCCAGCCAUGCCGCGUGAGUGAUGAAGGUCUUAGGAUUGUAAAGCUCUUUCACCGAUGAAGAUAAUGACGGUAGUCGGAGAAGAAGCCCCGGCUAACUUCGUGCCAGCAGCCGCGGUAAUACGAAGGGGGCUAGCGUUGUUCGGAAUUACUGGGCGUAAAGCGCACGUAGGCGGAUAUUUAAGUCAGGGGUGAAAUCCCGCAGCUCAACUGCGGAACUGCCUUUGAUACUGGGUAUCUCGAGUAUGGAAGAGGUGAGUGGAAUUCCGAGUGUAGAGGUGAAAUUCGUAGAUAUUCGGAGGAACACCAGUGGCGAAGGCGGCUCACUGGUCCAUUACUGACGCUGAGGUGCGAAAGCGUGGGGAGCAAACAGGAUUAGAUACCCUGGUAGUCCACGCCGUAAACGA
rnacentral:rRNA from 1 species